rnacentral:rRNA from 1 species
UAGGGAAUCUUCGGCAAUGGACGAAAGUCUGACCGAGCAACGCCGCGUGAGUGAAGAAGGUUUUCGGAUCGUAAAACUCUGUUGUUAGAGAAGAACAAGGACGUUAGUAACUGAACGUCCCCUGACGGUAUCUAACCAGAAAGCCACGGCUAACUACGUGCCAGCAGCCGCGGUAAUACGUAGGUGGCAAGCGUUGUCCGGAUUUAUUGGGCGUAAAGCGAGCGCAGGCGGUUUCUUAAGUCUGAUGUGAAAGCCCCCGGCUCAACCGGGGAGGGUCAUUGGAAACUGGGAGACUUGAGUGCAGAAGAGGAGAGUGGAAUUCCAUGUGUAGCGGUGAAAUGCGUAGAUAUAUGGAGGAACACCAGUGGCGAAGGCGGCUCUAUGAUCUGUAACUGACACUGAGGCUCGAAAGCGUGGGGAGCAAACAGG